rnacentral:rRNA from 1 species
UACGAAGGUGGCAAGCGUUGUUCGGAUUUACUGGGCGUACAGGGAGCGUAGGCGGUUGGAUAAGCCCUCCGUGAAAUCUCCAGGCUUAACCUGGAAAGUGCAGAGGGGACUGUUCAGCUAGAGGAUGGGAGAGGAGCGCGGAAUUCCCGGUGUAGCGGUGAAGAUGCGUAGAUAUCGGGAGGAACAUCAGUGGCGAAGGCGGCUACCUGGCCCAAUACUGACACUCAGGUGCGACAGCGUGGGGAGCAAACAGG